rnacentral:rRNA from 1 species
UGUUAGCUUGAAGCCAAUAGCAGCCAGCAAUGGUUGUUUUAAUGGUGAAUCAUAACAAUUGAGCGAAUCGUAUUGGCCUUUGAGCCGACGAUGCUCCAUUUGAAUUUCUGACCUAUCAACUUGAUGGUAGGAUAGGGGCCUACCAUGGUGAUAACGGGUAACGGGGAAUUAGGGUUUGAUUCCGGAGAGGGAGCUUGAGAAAUGGCUACCACUUCCAAGGAAGGCAGCAGGCGCGCAAAUUACCCAAUUCCGAUACGGAGAGGUAGUGACAACAAAUAACAAUACAGAGCCUUAUGGUUUUGUAAUUGGAAUGAGUACAAUUUAAACCCCUUAACGAGUAGCAAUUGGAGGGCAAGUCUGGUGCCAGCAGCCGCGGUAAUUCCAGCUCCAAUAGUGUAUAUUAAAGUUGUUGCGGUUAAAAAGCUCGUAGUUGGAUUUUGAGAAUUAAGAGAUAUGGUCUUUUGCUUAGUCAAAUGUACUAAUUUCUUUUUCUCUUUUUUCUGGAUAUUCAUUACUGCUAUUUAUUUAGUGGUAAUUCAAAAAGGGGUGUUCAAUCUUUGGGUGCCAUGGAAUUCCAGAUCUUUUACUUUGAAAAAAUUAGAGUGUUCAAAGCAGGCAUUUUUGCCAUGAAUACAUUAGCAUGGGAUAAUAAUAUAGGACUCUUUAUCUGUAUCGUUGGUUUCUGGAUAUAAGAGUUAAAGAUUAAUAGGAACAGUUGGGGUGAUUCAUAUUUAAUUGUCAGAGGUGAAAUUCUUGGAUUUUUGAAAGAUGAACUUAAGCGAAAGCAUUUCACAAGGAUGUUUUCAUUAAUCAAGAACGAAAGUUGGGGGAUCGAAGACGAUUAGAUACCGUCGUAGUCUCAACCAUAAACUAUGCCGACCAGGGAUUGGAUUUUGUUUCUUUUGACUCUUCCAGCACCUUGUGAGAAGUCAUAAGUAUUUGUGCUCCGGGGGGAGUAUGGUCGCAAGGCUGAAACUUAAAGGAAUUGACGGAAGGGCACCACCAGGAGUGGAGCCUGCGGCUUAAUUUGACACAACACGGGAAAACUUACCAGGUCCAGACUGCAGAAGGAUUGACAGAUUGAGAGCUCUUUCUUGAUUUGCAGGGUGGUGGUGCAUGGCGUUCUUAGUUGGUGGAGUGAUUUGUCUGGUUAAUUCCGAUAACGAACGAGACCUUAACCUGCUAAAUAGUUACUCUUAGUUUUUGUUGGGAAUUUAUUCUCUUCUUGAGCUAAUGAGGCGAACUUCUUAGAGGGACUAUUGGUUACUAACCAAUGGAAGUUUGAGGCAAUAACAGGUCUGUGAUGCCCUUCGAUGUUCUGGGCUGCACGCGCGCUACACUGAUGAACUCAACGAGUAAUUUUUCCUUAACCGAAAGGUUUGGGUAAUCUUCUGAAAGUUCAUCGUGAUGGGGAUAGAUCAUUGUAAUUAUUGGUCUUGAACGAGGAAUUCCUAGUAAGCGUAAGUCAUCAGCUUACGUUGAUUACGUCCCUGCCCUUUGUACACACCGCCCGUCGCUCCUACCGAUUGGAUGAUCCGGUGAAAA